UUGUCCAAACCCUGCUCUGUCUACAUAAAGACUUGGAACAGGACGCCAUCGAACCCAAAUGCACCACAUAUCACCUCGUGAACCUGCAGCUCCGUACGCACGACUGGACUUUUAACUGUUUGGAAAGACAAAAAGACGAGCUGGUGUGAGAGGGAAGGAGCAGAGAAGAGAGAGUAGCUGUGAGAAUCAGGAGCAGGAGAUGAAUGGAAGAAUCCUGGAGAGAGGAUCAACUCCAGAGACUUGAGGUCGUCCAUCUACCAGUUUGUAUUAACAUCCUCUCCGUCUGCAGUAUCUACAGUCAAUGUUGUCCUCCAGAGCUGUGGAGUGUGACAAUGGUGUUUGUGUACUGUGUAUCAAACGCCAUUAUCACACUAAAUAGCUACAGUGUGAAACCAACCUCAAAAUAUUCCCGGUUUGCAUGGUUUAUUUGAAUUUUUUUCUAUUUUAUUUGUUUUGUGGCUUAUGUAUUCUCUGAAUUUUCUUUUUAAAGUAUUUGUGAUAGUUUUCUAGUUCAUUCUGUAAAGCCUAAAUUCACAUUACGGACACAUUACACUAUGGAAGAGGGACAGAGAUGAAAAUAGAGUGUGUUGGUACAUAGCACAUGAUCUUUAGCCUCUGAGUGUGACCCACUUACUUUCAUGUUUGAGGUGGUAAUUUGCUGCUGGAGACCUUCGACUGUCUGUAAAAAUAAAACUAGACGUACCAUUUGUUUUCAA